rnacentral:rRNA from 1 species
GACGGAGGUGCCGAGCGUUAGGCGGAAUCACUGGGCUUAAAGCGUGUGUAGGCGGGUUUCUAAAGUAUCUUGUGAAAUCCCACGGCUCAACCGUGGAACUGCUGGAUAUACUGGGAAUCUUGAGCCACUUAGGGGCAACCGGAACAAAUGGUGGAGCGGUGAAAAUGCGUAGAUAUCAUUUGGAACGCCAAUGGUGAAAACAGGUUGCUGGGAGUGUGCUGACGCUGAGACACGAAAGCCAGGGGAGGCGAACGGG